AUUGAACGCUGGCGGCAUGCUUUACACAUGCAAGUCGAACGGUAACAGGCCGCAAGGUGCUGACGAGUGGCGAACGGGUGCGUAAUGCAUCGGAACGUGCCCAGUCGUGGGGGAUAACGCAGCGAAAGCUGUGCUAAUACCGCAUACGAUCUAUGGAUGAAAGCGGGGGACCGUAAGGCCUCGCGCGAUUGGAGCGGCCGAUGUCAGAUUAGGUAGUUGGUGGGGUAAAGGGUCACCAAGCCAACGAUCUGUAGCUGGUCUGAGAGGACGACCAGCCACACUGGGACUGAGACACGGCCCAGACUCCUACGGGAGGCAGCAGUGGGGAAUUUUGGACAAUGGGCGCAAGCCUGAUCCAGCAAUGCCGCGUGCAGGAAGAAGGCCUUCGGGUUGUAAACUGCUUUUGUACGGAACGAAACGGUCUGGGUUAAUACCCUGGGCUAAUGACGGUACCGUAAGAAUAAGCACCGGCUAACUACGUGCCAGCCGCCGCUGUAAGAC
rnacentral:rRNA from 1 species